UUUUAAAUGAAGACCUGUAUGAAUGGCAUAACGAGGGUUUAACUGUCUCUUUCUCCCGGUCAGUGAAACUGAUCUGCCCGUGCAGAAGCGGGCAUACGCAUACAAGACGAGAAGACCCUAUGGAGCUUUAGACGCCCACCAAUUACGAAAAGCGGGCCCGGUUCAAGGAGCCCUCAAACAACGUAAUGUUGGCACAAACGUC
rnacentral:rRNA from 1 species